rnacentral:rRNA from 1 species
UACGAAGGGGGCUAGCGUUGCUCGGAAUUACUGGGCGUAAAGCGCACGUAGGCGGCUUUCUAAGUCGGGGGUGAAAUCCUGGAGCUCAACUCCAGAACUGCCUCGAUACUGGAAAGCUCGAGUCCGGGAGAGGUGAGUGGAACUGCGAGUGUAGAGGUGAAAUUCGUAGAAUAUUCGCAAGAACACCAGUGGCGAAGGCGGCUCACUGGCCCGGUACUGACGCUGAGGUGCGGAAAGCGUGGGGAGCAAACAGG